AAAAAGCCAAACAAUCCCAAACAAACCCAAAAGACAAGCUUUUCUGUUUAAUGUCAAACAAAUUUUUGUAAUUGACACUCAACAGACCAUGUGAAGGCAAAUGAGUUACUGUUUGGAGAUGGGUUAUUAAAUGCUGGAUUCUUCUGUGCCUUCACAGCAAAGAACCUCAGGUUUGGAAUGGCCAGGCAGUCUCGCACAACUGGGUGUAAAUAAAGUCAGAGAACAGCCCCUCAAAGCUGAGGUUGGUGUAAAAAUGUGCAAUGAGAAUCCACAUGAUGUGACAAGGCUGGUAGAUCAGUGACUCUACUGAGACCCAACUUUGGCCUCUGAUCCACAAGGAAGGACACACUCAGGUCUCAGGUGUUUGAGAGCUGAUGGAUAUUUGAGGUAUGGAACAUGUUCUAUUGCUUUGUCUUUUGAAGCAGCAUUGAGCCCUGUGUCAGGUAGCACAUACCAGCUCUGAGAGCUAUCCUGAGCUUUACAAAGUGAGAAGGAUGAUGAUGACACCACACUGUGCUUUCCUAUGCUAAUUGGGAUCUAUGUUUAGACUGAGUUUAAGAAUUAACACAUGGGACUUAAGUACCACACGCAUGGAAAGUCUCACUCUGUAAGUCAAACCUGCGGCAAAACAAAGGGAACCAUAUUCAGUUCAAACAUUUUACUGGGUUCCAACUUGGUGUGUGUUACACUUUGAGCCUGGCACUGCAGCUGAUACAAGGUAAAUUAAUUACUCAGCCUGCCUUGUCCUUGAAAGAGUUAAUACUUGGAAACAA